rnacentral:snoRNA from 1 species
GAAAAUCCAUGAGUAGUGAAAGGUCCGACUCCCAGGGUCCCCUCCCUAUAACCCUUGCAUCCCCUUGGGCUCCAGUAGUGCCGUGAUGGGCAGAAGGGUGGCUGGUGCUGGGCAACGCCCCAGGGCUGUGUUCCUUGGCGAGAACCCCCCCCAGCCAGCUGCUAAGGGGGUUCAUUGUUGGGGCUGCUGGUACCUGUGGUUAUGGUCUGUUUUUAAUAGUUUAUUUA